rnacentral:lncRNA from 1 species
CCCCGGGAAGAGGAUUUCAAGCCUGUCAUCUUCAACUCAUAGCAGCCUUGGAGGAGUGGGUUCCUCCGCUAUAUUAUGCUCUUGAAAGAAGACGCUGCUACUCAGACUGUCCCACUGAACAUCUGAAAAGGGGGUUUGUCACGUAAAUCUGCAGUACUUGGACCUGGGGGCCAACUUGCUGGGCUUUUCUUAUUUUGUUAUUUCUGGCUGACAAGCCUUCUCUUUUGGGGGUGAAUUAAGUUGUGCUCACACUCAACCCUAGUCCAGAUGCACAUUUUAGAAAUACACUAUACCCCCUUCCUUUAUUUGUAACU